rnacentral:lncRNA from 1 species
UCUGUUUUAGAAAGGGAAUUGGAUGAAAAUGUUUUAUGACCGAGGCGCCGGUCCCAAUUGAAUUAUUAAAGGCCAAAGUGUGCCUAGGAUCCUUUAUAUUUGAGAACUCGUAUUGAAUAUGCGGGUUCGGAGCUAUGUCGUGGGCUGAUCACCCAGCUUAGCUCGUAGCGUCUUAUCUGGUUCCAAUUCCAUAAAGGAGAAACUGGUUGGUUUAAAUCAUAUUGUGUUGGUAUCAUUAUCUUUAUAUCAUUGUCAGGUUUUACAUACUGUUUGAUUUAUUGUUGGUUUGGAUAUUAUAUACUUGCUGAGCAUUCUUUUGCUCAUUCUUGCUAUUUCUUCUAACCCCUUUCAGAUAAUGUUAAAGAUGGUUCGCCUAUUUAGGCUAAGCAUAAGAGUAAGGCUAGGCGAGGAUUGCAAGUGACUAAGUUUCAACCUGAUGGUCAGGAAGAGUAUCCAAGAUCGAGUCUUUGGGACUAGUGGUAAUUAGAGUUGUCUAAAUUUGAUUUAGUUGUAAAAACAUGUAAUAGAAUUUAUUAGUUUUAUUUUUCUGAUUUCAAUACUAUAGCCUGUUUGCGAUCCUGUUUUAAAGGGGGUUAAACUUUGUUCUUUUAAAUCUUUUAUUAAAGCUUUCAGGUUUUAAA